CCGCUGCACCGUGAUGCGCACGAGCGCGGCCGGCCGGCGCCCCCAGCGCGCCCACAGUCAGAAGAAACCAACCCUGCCACACUUCGACCUUGGACUUCCAGCCUCGGACGGUGGGGAAAUAAGCCGCCUGGUUAGCCCGAGGAGAGUAAUCCAUCCAAUUCUCAGGACGCCUGUCUCUCUCCCUCUGAACCACUGGGCGCAGCACAUCCUGCUUUCCACGUGGACCUAGAACGUCGUCUUCCUGGAGUACCAACUGCUCUCUACCCCAAAUCCUGUUUAUUUCCAUUGGUGGUACCCCCAAUUUCCCCCUCGACUCUGAAAUUCUGGGGUCCCAAUACAAUGGCAAUGUGAUUCACUUUACGAGGAUUUGGUUUGCAGUAAUGUCCUAUUCACCUUCAUAUCUCUGGCAUUUAGCACUGUGCCAGCACACAGUAGGUGCUUAAUAAAAAGUU